rnacentral:rRNA from 1 species
CGUAGGGGGCAAGCGUUGUCCGGAAUCACUGGGCGUAAAGCGUGCGUAGGCGGGAGUUUAAGUGAGAUGUUAAAUCGUGUGGCUCAACCAUAUCGAUGCAUCUCAUACUGGGCACCUAGAGGAAGGCAGAGGCAAGUGGAAUUUGUAGUGUAGCAGUGAAAUGCGUAGAUAUUACAAGGAACACCAAUGGCGAAGGCAGCUUGCUGGGCCUUUUCUGACGCUGAGGUACGAAAGCGUGGGGAGCGAACGGGAUUAGAUACCCCGGUAGUCCUGGCCUUAAACGAUGGAUGCUUGGUGUCUAGAGUUUUAUAGUCUCCGGGUGCCGUAGCUAACGCGUUAAGCAUCCCGCCUGGGGAGUACGGUCGCAAGACUG